CGUCGUUGGAAUUUCUACCCCGAGAACGCGAGGGUUUCCUCCGCGGCCGCCGCCGCCGCGACCCCAUAUCCCGCCACUCCAUGGCCCCAGUCCUCGCUCCGCAGCCGCCAAAUCCGGACGAGUUCGUCGCCCUUUGCGCCGCCACCCCGGCAGCCCCUCUCGUCGGCGACUACCACGGGUGCGCCUCCCUCUCCCUCGAGACUCCAUCUCGACCUCGAGGCUCCAGCGCGACGCCACCUCCUGCCGACCGCGACUCCCUCCAGCGCUGCCGACGUCGCCCUUUGCGUCGCCACCCCGGCAGCCCCUCUCGCCGACGACCACCACGGGGGCGCCUCCCUCUCCCUGGAGGCUCCAUCUCCCCAGCGGCCUUCCCUCCUUUGCCCCGAGUCCAGGACCACCAGUUUGGUCAAAUUCCCUGUAGCCGCCGGUCAUGAUCGGCCGCACCGCCGCCCCUGGUCGACGCUAACGCCGCGGCGGACAGCGGGCUGCUGUGAUGAUGCACCGGGGUGUAGCGCAGCUCGGAGGCCUGGCUGCUGUGGUGGUGUUGGUCGUGGUGGACGGGGAACCGGCGGCAGGGAAACCCUGACUUCUGUAUGCAAUGCCGACCUUAAUGACAGAUGUUUCUGUGUUCGUUCUGGUGCCGUGGCUGCUUUGAUGCAUCAAAUCCCUCUGCUUCCCGGCGCCUCUCCAUCUCUUCCAGAUUGAUUUACAACUGGGACCGUCCCUAACAAAGUCUGCACAUCGAUCUGCUGUAACAUUGGCUGGGUUUUCUCUCCUCGACUCUACUAACACUCUGGAGUUACAAGCAAUUACAUCAGGUAGAUAUAUCUAUGUUUUACAACUGGGACUGUCCCUAACAAAGUCUGCACAUCGAUCUGCUGUAACAUUGGCUGGGUUUUCUCUCCUCGACUCUACUAACACUCUGGAGUUACAAGUAGAUAUAUCUAUGUUCUUUUUUUGCUUUGAGCUGCAUUGAUUUUAUUUGUAAACGGGGAGAGGCAGGUGAGCUGCCAGCACAUCUUGGCCACCACUGAUUUACGGACAAGACGAAUAGAUAUGCAGACUAAGCUCCAGGGAUUUCGGUAGUACAUGCCAUGUUUAUCCUCACUGCUGAAUAAUCUAUAUAUAACUAUUUUUGCAAUACUUGGACCACAGGAGCAAUUCGUUCUUUAUAUUUUGCUCGGGAUUGUGCCUUUCAUAAUAGAAGGGUAAGAUGUAUCGCAAUAUCUUUGACUUGCAUUCUCUGUGAUGUGAAGUAAGAAAAUAGAAUAUAUAAUAUUAAAUUAUCUUUUUCCUUUUUUUAAUGUCCCUAUCUUACUCAUAUAAUCCAAUUGGCAUUCACUAGAGUUUCUGUUGAUGAAACAUUUGUUUUGUGAUGUCAGGAGGUUUUCUUUGUGACUUUUCAAUCAAUAUUUGUAGAUACGGUUCGUAGAUCAUGAUAUCUGCACAAUCUCUAUCUACGUCCUGUGAUUAUAUAUUGUAUUAAUGGGUUGUGUCAGGCUUAUUUUAUCAACUGCUUGGUUGUUGACCUACAUUACGGUUUAAUUCUUAUAGCAGUUUAUGUUGACUCGAUUCCCUGUAGUAGGUUGAGAGGCUUCUCCUCUCAUGAUUUACUCUGAUCAGUUUGCUUUGCUCCAUGCUCCUCAUGAUUUCUUUGAAUUUUUCUGUAGGAGCUCAAUCAAAAAUCACCUAAGCAAAUAUGUCGUCCUUCUCUACAAGGGUUGGAUGUGGAAUUUGAGGAGAAUCUGUGCACCAGCAUUGGACUCCUUGAUGUUGCUCUGAUCAUAUUGUGUAAAUAUAUUUCUAAUAAAGCAAUUGCUCGAUGGUGUACAUGUUAGAAAUAACAAGAUGUAAUCAUCAAGUGUGAGAGAUGGCAACAUCAGGAUGGGAUGGUAUGUACUGUUGUGCUCAUCAAUAGUCACUGCGUUUGGUCUAUCCCGAGCCUCUGAUUGUGAUUCGUGUUCUUUUGAUAUGCACUUGCCAUGAUAUUGUGGCUGGACUUCUGGUAUGUGUUACCUCUAAUAAAUGUUGCAGAGCUCCCUCUCCUCUGCUUGAUUUUCCUUUUUUGGAUUUUCAUCAGCUUGCUUCGUUCUUCGGUCGACGGCAUCACAGUACCCCUGUCUAUGUGGACAAUGCCUAAUAUACUUCCACUGGAUGGCGACCAGGCCAGGAAGGGAGUGGACUUGUGCUGCUCACGGCUUUGCUCCUCUAUUCCCUCCUUUUCCUUUGAUGUUUCGAAACAUCUUGGAGUAGUGGAUGGAUCAGAUAUGGCCCAGUAGCACUGGUGGUUUUACUGUGCAGGAACAGUUCAACAUGUAGUUCUUGAUGGGAUUUAGUAAUUUUGGGUUGUUGAGCAAGAUCGUGGAAGCUAAUGCUGCUGAUUCAUGUGCAAUUAUUAUCCUUUUUUUUCUUCCUUAGAUUUUUGAGGUUUUUCUUAGAUGUUUUUUUAGAUAAGAUGUCUAGAGAUUUCAACUUGGUCAAUUCAUAUGCUUAACUAAUAUUUUAGAUAACGGAAGAUUGCUCCUGCGGCUGUUGCAUCGUUCCAUAUUUUAUAUUGCCUGAACAUGUUUUUUCUUUUGCCUGAUCCUACUUUGUUAAACAUCUUUUCCCAGUUAAGUGGCUCGGCUUUGCUAUUGUUUCUCUUGGUUUCACUCUGCAUAUCAAAAUCUCUUUUACGUACUAUGCAUUUAUGCUCUAUCUGCACUGUAAUUCAACAUGUCUUCCUUCCGGCUACAGCUAAUACCUCUGUCUCAAGCGUAUAUUAUUGAAGUAAUGCUUUUUGAUUGAUUAUAUAAUUGUAUAUUGUUCUUUGACUAUCUCAUAGGAAAUCAGAAGACCACUUUUGGAUAAGUUGGAUGGUAGGUCUUUCUCUGGAACUGUUUAUCAUCUGCAAAAAAAUUUGGCUGAUCAGAGCUCAGAAGCAAUGAGGAACAUGAAGCAGCAAAGAUAAUGAGUGACGGUGGUGGCUGGACUUCCCCGCCAUGAAGAUGAGCGGAAGGAGCAAGAGCACAUCUGAAGAUGGGGAGGGGUGGAGGUGGCGGUUCUGAAUUUGAAGACGGUGCUGUGAGGAGUAGCAGGAGGAGCAGCCGCCGACGGCCUGGCUGCAUGUGUUAUCUUCAAUCUUCGGUGUAUGGAUCAACACAGAACUAUAAGGUUUUGCGAGGAAUCAAGGCUUGUUUUCUCUGUAUCAUGAUAAGAUGAACCUAAACUUGCAAUUCCUCUACUACUGCCCAUUGCCCAGUACAGGUCCAAGAGAACAAUAUUUGCAUUCUGAAUGUCUGCCUGCACACAACCAGGUUCUAGAUGAGUGUGUGUACAACACUACAACCUGCAAAAUAGAUUUUCCACGUGCUUGUUGUCAAUAUUUGCGGUACAAUUUGAAAUUCAUAAUGCACCAAAGUUAUUGUGGUGUGAUGAUCUGAUUUAAAGCUUUUAAGUAAUGGAUUAUACAAAUCAGCA